GAGAACAUACACCAAAUGAAUACAAGUAUUUAGAAAAUAAUAUUUGUAUAUUACAGAUGUCAUUUGGCUGUAUAAUCAAGAAGAUGAGUGGCAAAUAAAUUAUGUUUUGUGUUUUUGAAGCAGGAGACAGACCAAAUGGAGGGCCAGAACUUACAGAUCCAGAAGUUCUCACUUUCAGAUGGUAAGGCUGCAGCUAACAAUCCCAGACAGCACUAUAUUUUAAAGGAUUCAUAAUACACAG
ensembl:lincRNA